rnacentral:rRNA from 1 species
UGGGGAAUAUUGCACAAUGGGCGCAAGCCUGAUGCAGCCAUGCCGCGGGUAUGAAGAAGGCCUUCGGGUUGUAAAGUACUUUCAGCGGGGAGGAAGGGAGUAAAGUUAAUACCUUUGCUCAUUGACGUUACCCGCAGAAGAAGCACCGGCUAACUCCGUGCCAGCAGCCGCGGUAAUACGGAGGGUGCAAGCGUUAAUCGGAAUUACUGGGCGUAAAGCGCACGCAGGCGGUUUGUUAAGUCAGAUGUGAAAUCCCCGGGCUCAACCUGGGAACUGCAUCUGAUACUGGCAAGCUUGAGUCUCGUAGAGGGGGGUAGAAUUCCAGGUGUAGCGGUGAAAUGCGUAGAGAUCUGGAGGAAUACCGGUGGCGAAGGCGGCCCCCUGGACAAAGACUGACGCUCAGGUGCGAAAGCGUGGGGAGCAAACAGG